rnacentral:rRNA from 1 species
UGUUUUUUUGAAUUAUAAUUUAAGAUUUGACCUGCCCACUGAUAUAAUCUAUUGAAGGGCCGCGGUAUUUUGACCGUGCAAAGGUAGCAUAAUCAUUAGUCCUUUAAUUGUGGACUGGAAUGAAUGGUUUAACGAGGUAUUUACUGUCUCAUAUUAAUUAUUUGAAUUUAACUUUUAAGUUAAAAGGCUUAAUUGAUUUUAAAGGACGAGAAGACCCUAUAGAGCUUUAUAAUUAUUAUUAUUUAUAUAUUUUUGGUUGAAUAUUUUUAUUAUUAAUAUAAUUAUUUUAUUGGGGUGAUAUAAAGAAUUAAUUAACUCUUUAUUUUUUAGAACAUUGAUUUAUGAAUUGUUGAUCCAUUAUUGAUGAUUAUAAGAUUAAGUUACCUUAGGGAUAACAGCGUUAUUUUUUUUGAGAGUUCUUAUCAACAAGAAAGAUUGCGACCUCGAUGUUGGAUUAAGGUAAAUAUUGGGUGUAGAAGUUCAAUUUUGUGGUCUGUUCGACCAUUAAAACCUUACGUGAUCUGAGUU